UUUCCAGACUCCUACGGGAGGCAGCAGUGGGGAAUAUUGCACAAUGGGGGAAACCCUGAUGCAGCGACGCCGCGUGGGUGAAGAAGUAUUUCGGUCUGUAAAGCCCUAUCAGCAGGGAAGAAGAAUGACGGUACCUGACUAAGAAGCACCAGCUAAAUACGUGCCAGCAGCCGCGGUAAUACGUAGGUGGCAAGCGUUGUCCGGAUUUACUGGGUGUACAGGGCGUGCAGCCGGGCUGACAAGUCAGAUGUGAAAUCCCGCGGCUCAACCGCGGAACUGCAUUUGAAACUGUCAGUCUUGAGUACCGGAGAGGUCAUCGGAAUUCCUUGUGUAGCGGUGAAAUGCGUAGAUAUAAGGAAGAACACCAGUGGCGAAGGCGGAUGACUGGACGGCAACUGACGGUGAGGCGCGAAAGCGUGGGGAGCAAACAGGAUUAGAUACCCGAGUAA
rnacentral:rRNA from 1 species